rnacentral:snRNA from 1 species
AUAUGUGAGGGCGAUCUGGCUGCGACAUCUGUCACCCCAUUGAUCGCCAGGGUUGAUUCGGCUGAUCUGGCUGGCUAGGCGGGUGUCCCCUUCCUCCCUCACCGCUCCAUGUGCGUCCCUCCCGAAGCUGCGCGCUCGGUGGAAGAGGACGACGUCCCAGGUAUAGAAGGAGUGUACCGAGGUCUCCAGUCUUCGGUCCCGGGUAUACGAUAGCUGCGCUCCCCUGCUAGAACCUCCAAACAAGCUCAAGGAAGAAGAAGAGGAAGAAGCAAUAUUUUCUGGGAGUUAAAUAUCUCCACAAUCCUGGAUGGCAGCCAUGCUACUUUAUGUG